rnacentral:rRNA from 1 species
AGCUCCAAUAGCGUAUACUAAAGUUGUUGCAGUUAAAAAGCUCGUAGUUGAAUUUCUGGUCUCGGACAUCGGUCUGCCUCGAACGAGGUACGUACCAGUUGUCUGAAUCCAUCCUCGGGGAAAACGUGUCUGUCAUUCAGUUGAUGGGCACGGGAUCCUCGUCAUUUACUGUGAGCAAAAUAGAGUGUUCAAAGCAGGCUUAUGCCGUUGAAUACAUUAGCAUGGAAUAAUAAGAUAGGACCUUGGUCUAUUUUGUUGGUUUGUACUCCAAGGUAAUGAUUAAUAGGGAUAGUUGGGGGUAUUCGUAUUCAAUUGUCAGAGGUGAAAUUCUUGGAUUUAUGGAAGACGAACUACUGCGAAAGCAUUUACCAAGGAUGUUUUCA